rnacentral:rRNA from 1 species
UGGGGAAUUUUGGACAAUGGGCGAAAGCCUGAUCCAGCAAUGCCGCGUGUGUGAAGAAGGCCUUCGGGUUGUAAAGCACUUUUGUCCGGAAAGAAAUCCUUGGCUCUAAUACAGUCGGGGGAUGACGGUACCGGAAGAAUAAGCACCGGCUAACUACGUGCCAGCAGCCGCGGUAAUACGUAGGGUGCAAGCGUUAAUCGGAAUUACUGGGCGUAAAGCGUGCGCAGGCGGUUUGCUAAGACCGAUGUGAAAUCCCCGGGCUCAACCUGGGAACUGCAUUGGUGACUGGCAGGCUAGAGUAUGGCAGAGGGGGGUAGAAUUCCACGUGUAGCAGUGAAAUGCGUAGAGAUGUGGAGGAAUACCGAUGGCGAAGGCAGCCCCCUGGGCCAAUACUGACGCUCAUGCACGAAAGCGUGGGGAGCAAACAGGAUU